rnacentral:rRNA from 1 species
UUGCACGCUGGCGGCAGGCCUAACACAUGCAAGUCGAGCGGAUGAAGGGAGCUUGCUCCUGGAUUCAGCGGCGGACGGGUGAGUAAUGCCUAGGAAUCUGCCUGGUAGUGGGGGAUAACGUCCGGAAACGGGCGCUAAUACCGCAUACGUCCUGAGGGAGAAAGUGGGGGAUCUUCGGACCUCACGCUAUCAGAUGAGCCUAGGUCGGAUUAGCUAGUUGGUGGGGUAAAGGCCUACCAAGGCGACGAUCCGUAACUGGUCUGAGAGGAUGAUCAGUCACACUGGAACUGAGACACGGUCCAGACUCCUACGGGAGGCAGCAGUGGGGAAUAUUGGACAAUGGGCGAAAGCCUGAUCCAGCCAUGCCGCGUGUGUGAAGAAGGUCUUCGGAUUGUAAAGCACUUUAAGUUGGGAGGAGGGGCAGUAAGUUAAUACCUUGCUGUUUUGACGUUACCAACAGAAUAAGCACCGGCUAACUUCGUG